UCCCUCGACAACCGGCUCCUGCAAAGUAGUCGAGUACCCGCACGUACCCGCGAGUAUCGUGCGACUCGGCGAGGGGGGAGAGGAAAAAAAAAAUCGAGCUUUUCAUACCGUCAAUUAUUCAAGGAGCUACGGCAAUGGGUACUCACUCCGCUGGAAGUAGGAGAAAAGAAAAAAGGAAUGAUAAAAGCGAAACGUUGAAUCGGGGAGGAAUUUUUUGUCCCUCCGUUAAUUGCCAUCCCCUGGAGAAUAACACCUCUCGGUAAUUCUUAGGCUGGAAAUGUAAAACGGUUUCUCUAUAGCGUCGAUUUCGAUGUGUCAGAGAUUGUCGACCGUUCGUCUCCCUGCAGAGUACGGCGGCUACGGCCACGCGGGUUUCUUGUUACCGCAGAAGAGGAAGAACACCAAGAAGAAGAAGAAGAAGAAGAAGAAGACGUGGACGGAGUCGAAGGAGGAGGAGGAGGAGGAGGAGGAGGAGGAGGAGAAGAAGAUGUUCGAAGAAGUGGCAAUGCCUCUUAUGCGCCGGGAUAGCUAAUGAGACAAGUGAGCUAUCGUCGGAAAGCUCUGAACCAGACCUCGGCCAAGGCGCCAACAAAAUAAAUGUGCAGCUCGCUUUCGUAUACCGGGGACGUUACACGGUGGCGAGACCGGUUUCAGGGGACCGAUUUCGAUUCCGAUGCCGCAUCUUCUGCUUCUAUAUAGGUAUAAUACCGGCGUUCCACGCGAACCAUCCCUCUUCAGCUAUCGGUGUACCGUUCGGGGUGAUUCGCCGCGAGUCGAGCGACACCCCGAAAUCCACGGGGCCCCGACUCUCGAGCGAUUCGAUUCAGACCACUGAGACGUCCGGCGCGGACAUAAUUCCGCAGAUUCGGAGAUUAGAAAAUCAAGACUCGGGGUUUUUUUUCUUUUUUUUUUUCAACUUCCAGGUGUCGUCCGGUCUAUCGCGUGCCGACGGCUAAGGUGUUGUUUCGACACCCGCGAAACUAUUGCGAGAUUACAGUGUGCAGCUGCAGGUUGCGCGGUGCGGAUAGAUAGAGAAAACGUUUGAUAAUGACGGUCGUGAAACGCUGGACGACGAUCGUCACGUUAAAUACCGAAUUCUAGGAGGUGCAACCCUCGUCUAAUUUCGUGCUGCGGGAUCAGAGCAAUUAUCGUAAUACGUACGUACAUACAUAUAUACCUGAUGUGGACGGUCGCCAAAAUUUUAAACGUUGCAAAUUAUAUUUACUCAAAGUUUCUUUGAUACCGUCUUUUGUCGGGAGAAGUGUGUACAACGGCUGCGAGACGACCACUCCGUAGAGGCAGGGGUGACAAAAAACUCGAAAACAAAAAAAACACAAAAAAACACGAAAAAAAAAAAUCAACGUACGGUCGUAAAUCUCCGGAGUUUUGACACGCGGAGUCCGUAGUUAAUAUCUUUCCGUCAAAGCUAGUUUCUCCGGUUAAUUGUUGGCUAUUCGGUUGCUCGUAGCUAGUAGGCCUCCCGAGUUGCUCCGCAGCGUUCAAGAGACACGGUUUGUUGUACGAUGCUUUGUUGUUAACCACGCGCUGCAUGUGGGCUGAUAAUAAAUACGAAGCACGUGCAGCCCCGGCUCUAUGGACUGAUCCGUUCGCUCGCUUUCGAGCUCCUCUUCGCGCGGAAUGGUACGGUCUCGGGAUAGGAGCGGCACAAAGACGUCGUGACUCGAAAAGGAGAACCAGUGGCAGCGGAACAAUUCAUCUCGCGCUUGAGGCGUCGAAAGAAGGAGCGGAGCACCUUCCGCGGGUUGUUGCGCUAACGCGAAGUGAAAACCUUUUCGUCGUCUCAGUGCCUUUGGCCGCCGCUGCAUCGCAAAAGACCGACCGACCGCCAUAGCCGGCUCCGCUCCGUCACUGAUCGCUGGAAUGUCGCUGCUUCUUCAUAUUUUAAUUUCAGGUUUCGGCUAGCUCACCCCCUGCAUCCUCCUCCUCUCGACGAC
rnacentral:misc_RNA from 1 species